rnacentral:rRNA from 1 species
UGGGGAAUAUUGGACAAUGGGCGCAAGCCUGAUCCAGCAAUGCCGCGUGUGUGAAGAAGGCCUUCGGGUUGUAAAGCACUUUUAUCAGGAGCGAAACGCUGUCGGCUAAUACCCGGCGGAACUGACGGUACCUGAGGAAUAAGCACCGGCUAACUUCGUGCCAGCAGCCGCGGUAAUACGAAGGGUGCAAGCGUUAAUCGGAAUUACUGGGCGUAAAGCGUGCGUAGGCGGUUUUCUUAAGUCUGCUGUGAAAUCCCCGGGCUCAACCUGGGAAUGGCAGUGGAUACUGGGAGGCUAGAGUGUGUCAGAGGGUGGUGGAAUUCCCGGUGUAGACGGUGAAAUGCGUGAGAAGUCGGGAGGAACAUCAGUGGNGAAGGCGCCACCUGGGACAACACUGACGCUGAGGCACGAAAGCGUGGGGAGCAAACAGGAUUAGAUACCCUGGUAGUCCACGCCCUAAAACGAUGCGAACUGGAUGUUGGUCUCAACUCGGAGAUCAGUGUCGAAGCUAACGCGUUAAGUUCGCCGCCUGGGGAGCACGGUCGCAAGACUGAAACUCAAAGGAAUUGACGGGGUCAUAGCUGUUUCCUG